CCAAUAGCGUAUAUUAAAGUUGUUGCAGUUAAAAAGCUCGUAGUUGAAUUUCGGGAUCAGUACGCUGGUCGUGCCUUUGGUAUGUACUGGUGUCACUGAUUCCUCCCUUCUGAAGAACCGUUAUGCCAUUUAUUUGGUGUGGCGGGGAAUCAGGACUGUUACUUUGAAAAAAUUAGAGUGUUUAAAGCAGGCUCGCGCUUGAAUACAUUAGCAUGGAAUAAUGAAAUAGGACGUUUGAUCUUAUUUUGUUGGUUUCUAGGAUCGACGUAAUGAUUAAUAGGGAUAGUUGGGGGCAUUAGUAUUCAAUUGUCAGAGGUGAAAUUCUUGGAUUUAUUGAAGACUAACUACUGCGAAAGCAUUUGCCAAGGAUGUUUUCAUUAAUCAAGAACGAAAGUUAGGGGAUCGAAGACGAUCAGAUACCGUCGUAGUCUUAACCAUAAACUAUGCCGACUAGGGAUCGGAUGAUGUUAUUUUAAUGACUCAUUCGGCGCCUUACGGGAAA
rnacentral:rRNA from 1 species